UACGAAGGGGGCUAGCGUUGCUCGGAAUCACUGGGCGUAAAGCGCACGUAGGCGGACUCUUAAAGUCGGUGGUGAAAUCCUGGAGCUCAACUCCAGAACUGCCUUCGAUACUGGGAGUCUUGAGUCCGGGAGAGGUGAGUGGAACUGCGAGUGUAGAGGUGAAAUUCGUAGAUAUUCGCAAGAACACCAGUGGCGAAGGCGG
rnacentral:rRNA from 1 species